AUUGAACGCUGGCGGCAUGCCUUACACAUGCAAGUCGAACGGUAACAGGUCUUCGGAUGCUGACGAGUGGCGAACGGGUGAGUAGUACAUCGGAACGUGCCUAGUAGUGGGGGAUAACUACUCGAAAGAGUGGCUAAUACCGCAUGAGAUUUACGGAUGAAAGCAGGGGAUCGCAAGACCUUGUGCUACUAGAGCGGCCGAUGGCAGAUUAGGUAGUUGGUGGGAUAAAAGCUUACCAAGCCGACGAUCUGUAGCUGGUCUGAGAGGAGGAUCAGCCACACUGGGACUGAGACACGGCCCAGACUCCUACGGGAGGCAGCAGUGGGGAAUUUUGGACAAUGGGCGCAAGCCUGAUCCAGCAAUGCCGCGUGCAGGAUGAAGGCCUUCGGGUUGUAAACUGCUUUUGUACGGAACGAAAAGCCCUGGGUUAAUACCCUGGGGUCAUGACGGUACCGUAAGAAUAAGCACCGGCUAACUACGUGCCAGCCGCCGCAGUAA
rnacentral:rRNA from 1 species